rnacentral:rRNA from 1 species
UACGUAGGGUGCGAGCGUUAAUCGGAAUUACUGGGCGUAAAGCGUGCGCAGGCGGUUUUGUAAGUCUGUCGUGAAAGCCCCGGGCUCAACCUGGGAAUGGCGAUGGAGACUGCAAGGCUUGAAUCUGGCAGAGGGGGGUAGAAUUCCACGUGUAGCAGUGAAAUGCGUAGAGAUGUGGAGGAACACCGGUGGCGAAGGCGGCAUCCUGGACCGAUACUGACGCUGAGGAGCGAAAGCCAGGGGAGCAAACGGG